GUCGACGAUGAARCCYAGCUUGCUGGRUGGAUUARUGGCGAACGGGUGAGUAACACGUGAGUAACCUGCCCUUAACUCUGGRAUAAGCCUGGSAAACUGGGUCUAAUACCGGAUAGGAGCGUCCACCGCAUGRUGRGUGUUGKAAAGAUUUAUCGGUUUUGGAUGSACUCGCGGCCUAUCASCUUGUUGGUGAGGUAAUGKCUCACCAAGGCGACGACGGGUAGCCGGCCUGAGAGGGUGACCGGCCACACUGGGACUGAGACACGGCCCAGACUCCUACGGGAGGCAGCAGUGGGGAAUAUUGCACAAUGGGCGCAAGCCUGAUGCAGCGACGCCGCGUGAGGRAUGACGGCCUUGGGGUUGUAAACCUCUUUCAGUAGGRAAGAAGCGAAAGUGAUGGUCCCUGCAGAAGAAGCACCGGCUAACUACGUGCCAGCAGCCGCGGUAAUACGUAGGGUGCGAGCGUUAUCCGGAAUUAUUGGGCGUAAAGAGCUCGUARGCGGUUUGUCGCGUCUGUCGUGAAAGUCCGGGGCUUAACSSCGGAUCUGCGGUGGGUACGGRCAGACUAGAGUGC
rnacentral:rRNA from 1 species